CAUGUAGGCGGCAUGACAAGUCUGGUGUGAAAUAUCUCGGCUCAACCGAGAAAACGCACUGGAAACUGUCAAGCUUGAGUAUCGGAGGGGAAGCUAGAAUUCCUGGUGUAGGGGUGAAAUCUGUAGAUAUCAGGAAGAAUACCGGUGGCGAAGGCGAGCUUCUGGCCAGAUACUGACACUGAGAUGCGAAAGCGUGGGGAGCGAACAGGAUUAGAUACCCUGGUAGUCC
rnacentral:rRNA from 1 species